UUUCCCAUUUGUUUGCUGCUGUAGUCUCUCAGUGACAGGAGCAGUUACAAGCAUGGGAUAAAACAAUAUUGGGCCAUUGUAAAUUGAGAUGAAGUAAGUGUUUUGUCUCUUCUCCAUGGUCUAGACAUGG
rnacentral:snoRNA from 1 species